rnacentral:rRNA from 1 species
CUCGAGACGGCGGGGUAGAGGCCCGCCGCGGUAACGACGGGUAACGGGGAAUCAGGGUUCGAUUCCGGAGAGGGAGCCCGAGAAACGGCUACCACUUCCAAGGAAGGCAGCAGGCGCGCAACUUACCCUAAUCUCGAUUCGAGGAGGUAGUGACAAGAAAUACCGAUGCGGGACCCUACGGGUGCCGCGUUCGGAAUGAGUACGAUUCGAACCACCUAACGAGGAACGAUCGGAGGGCAAGUCUGGUGCCAGCAGCCGCGGUAAUUCCAGCUCCAAUAGCGUACGUUAAAGUUGCUGCAGUUAAAAAGCUCGUAGUUGAACGUCCGGGUUCCGCGGGACGGGGCCGCCCCGCGAGGGACGGCGCCGCCCUGGGGCCCGUGGGAUCCGAUCUCGCCGCCCGUCGCGAGGCGGACGGAGGGACGGAUGAGGUUACCUGGAAAAAAAUCGGGGCGAUCUAGGCGGGCGAACCUCGCCAACGAACGAUAGG